rnacentral:rRNA from 1 species
AUUGAACGCUGGCGGCAGGCUUAACACAUGCAAGUCGAGCGGAGAUGAGGUGCUUGCAUCUUAUCUUAGCGGCGGACGGGUGAGUAAUGCUUAGGAAUCUGCCUAUUAGUGGGGGACAACAUUCCGAAAGGAAUGCUAAUACCGCAUACGUCCUACGGGAGAAAGCAGGGGAUCUUCGGACCUUGCGCUAAUAGAUGAGCCUAAGUCGGAUUAGCUAGUUGGUGGGGUAAAGGCCUACCCAGGCGACGAUCUGUAGCGGGUCUGAGAGGAUGGUCCGCCACACUUGGACGGAGACACGGCCCAGACUCCUACGGGAGGCAGCAGUGGGGAAUAUUGGACAAUGGGGGGAACCCUGAUCCAGACAUGCCGCGUGUGUGAAGAAGGCCUUAUGUUUGUAAAGCACUUUAAGCGAGGAGGAGGCUACUGAGACUAAUACUCUUGGAUAGUGGACGUUACUCGCAGAAUAAGCACCGGCUAACUCUGUGCCAGCCGCCGCGGUAAGAC